GGCGGGCUUGUAAGUCAGUGGUGAAAUGCUGUGGCUUAACCAUAGAAUUGCCAUUGAAACUGCAAGUCUUGAGUACAGUUGAGGUGGGCGGAAUGAGUAAUGUAGCGAUGAAAUGCAUAGAUAUUACUCAGAACUCCGAUUGCGUAGGCAGCUUGCUAAACUGUAACUGACGCUGAUGCACGAAAGCGUGGGGAGCGAACAGGAUUAGAUACCCUGGUAGUCCACGCUGUAAACGAUGAGCACUGGUUGUUGGCAAUACACCGUCAGCGACUGAGCGAAAGUAUUAAGUGCUCCACCUGGGGAGUACGUCGGCAACGAUGAAACUCAAAGGAAUUGACGGGGGCCCGCACAAGCGGAGGAACAUGUGGUUUAAUUCGAUGAUACGCGAGGAACCUUACCUGGGCUUAAAUGUAGAGUGCAUUGCUUGGAAACAGGCAUUUUCUUCGGAACUCUUUACAAGGUGCUGCAUGGUUGUCGUCAGCUCGUGCCGUGAGGUGUCGGGUUAAGUCCCAUAACGAGCGCAACCCCUAUUGUUAGUUACCAGCACGUAAUGGUGGGGACUCUAGCAAGACUGCCGGUGUAAACCGUGAGGAAGGUGGGGAUGACGUCAAAUCAGCACGGCCCUUAUGUCCAGGGCUACACACGUGUUACAGUGGCAAGUACAAAGAGCAGCCACCUGGCGACAGGGCGCUAAUCUCAAAAGCUUGCCUCAGUUCGGAUCGAAGUCUGCAACUCGACUUCGUGAAGGUGGAUUCGCUAGUAAUCGCGCAUCAGCCAUGGCGCGGUGAAUACGUUCCCGGGCCUUGUACACACCGCCCGUCAAGCCAUGGAAGCCGGGGGUACCUGAAGUCCGUAACC
rnacentral:rRNA from 1 species